rnacentral:rRNA from 1 species
UGGGAGCCUACCAUGCAAGUCGAGCGGAAACGAGUUAUCUGAACCUUCGGGGAACGAUAACGGCGUCGAGCGGCGGACGGGUGAGUAAUGCCUAGGAAAUUGCCCUGAUGUGGGGGAUAACCAUUGGAAACGAUGGCUAAUACCGCAUGAUGCCUACGGGCCAAAGAGGGGGACCUUCGGGCCUCUCGCGUCAGGAUAUGCCUAGGUGGGAUUAGCUAGUUGGUGAGGUAAGGGCUCACCAAGGCGACGAUCCCUAGCUGGUCUGAGAGGAUGAUCAGCCACACUGGAACUGAGACACGGUCCAGACUCCUACGGGAGGCAGCAGUGGGGAAUAUUGCACAAUGGGCGCAAGCCUGAUGCAGCCAUGCCGCGUGUGUGAAGAAGGCCUUCGGGUUGUAAAGCACUUUCAGUCGUGAGGAAGGUGGUGUUGUUAAUAGCACUAUUAUUUGACGUUAGCGACAGAAGAAGCACCGGCUAACUCCGUGCCAGCAGCCGCGGUAAUACGGAGGGUGCGAGCGUUAAUCGGAAUUACUGGGCGUAAAGCGCAUGCAGGUGGUUUGUUAAGUCAGAUGUGAAAGCCCGGGGCUCAACCUCGGAAUAGCAUUUGAAACUGGCAGACUAGAGUACUGUAGAGGGGGGUAGAAUUUCAGGUGUAGCGGUGAAAUGCGUAGAGAUCUGAAGGAAUACCGGUGGCGAAGGCGGCCCCCUGGACAGAUACUGACACUCAGAUGCGAAAGCGUGGGGAGCAAACAGGAUUAGAUACCUGGGUAGUCAA